AUAGAUUUUUGGCCUUUGGGCUAAGAUCAAGGGUAGUAUCUGUUCUUAACAGCUUGGAUGAUUAGAACAUCAGGCUUGGAUGAUUAAAGAGUUUUCUAGGUCUUACAUAAA
ensembl:snRNA U2 U2 spliceosomal RNA